rnacentral:rRNA from 1 species
AACGAACGCUGGCGGCAUGCCUAACACAUGCAAGUCGAACGAGACCUUCGGGUCUAGUGGCGCACGGGUGCGUAACGCGUGGGAACCUGCACUUAGGUUCGGAAUAACUCCCCGAAAGGGGUGCUAAUACCGGGUAAUGUCUUCGGACCAAAGAUUUAUCGCCUUUGGAUGGGCCCGCGUUGGAUUAGCUAGUUGGUAGGGUAAAAGCCUACCAAGGCGACGAUCCAUAGCUGGUCUGAGAGGAUGAUCAGCCACACUGGGACUGAGACACGGCCCAGACUCCUACGGGAGGCAGCAGUGGGGAAUAUUGGACAAUGGGCGAAAGCCUGAUCCAGCAAGGCCGCGUGAGUGAUGAAGGCCUUAGGGUUGUAAAGCUCUUUUACCCGGGAUGAUAAUGACAGUACCGGGAGAAUAAGCACCGGCUAACUCCGUG